rnacentral:rRNA from 1 species
GCGGCGGACGGGUGAGUAACACGUGGAUAACCUACCUAUAAGACUGGGAUAACUUCGGGAAACCGGAGCUAAUACCGGAUAAUAUUUUGAACCGCAUGGUUCAAAAGUGAAAGACGGUCUUGCUGUCACUUAUAGAUGGAUCCGCGCUGCAUUAGCUAGUUGGUAAGGUAACGGCUUACCAAGGCAACGAUGCAUAGCCGACCUGAGAGGGUGAUCGGCCACACUGGAACUGAGACACGGUCCAGACUCCUACGGGAGGCAGCAGUAGGGAAUCUUCCGCAAUGGGCGAAAGCCUGACGGAGCAACGCCGCGUGAGUGAUGAAGGUCUUCGGAUCGUAAAACUCUGUUAUUAGGGAAGAACAUAUGUGUAAGUAACUGUGCACAUCUUGACGGUACCUAAUCAGAAAGCCACGGCUAACUACGUGCCAGCAGCCGCGGUAAUACGUAGGUGGCAAGCGUUGUCCGGAAUUAUUGGGCGUAAAGCGCGCGUAGGCGGUUUUUUAAGUCUGAUGUGAAAGCCCACGGCUCAACCGUGGAGGGUCAUUGGAAACUGGAAAACUUGAGUGCAGAAGAGGAAAGUGGAAUUCCAUGCGUAGCGGUGAAAUGCGCAGAGAUAUGGAGGAACACCAGUGGCGAAGGCGACUUUCUGGUCUGUAACUGACGCUGAUGUGCGAAAGCGUGGGGAUCAAACAGGAUUAGAUACCCUGGUAGUCCACGCCGUAAACGAUGAGUGCUAAGUGUUAGGGGGUUUCCGCCCCUUAGUGCUGCAGCUAACGCAUUAAGCACUCCGCC